CUGUCUCAUACUGUUUGAGCUGAAGCAUCUCACCCUAUCUUUUCUGUCCUCAGUUUGGGAUUUACAUAUCAGCUUUCCUGCUCCUCAGGUCUUUGGGAUCAGACUAAAUUACACCACCAGCUUUCCUGGGCCACGAGCUUGCCGAACACACUCUAUGGGAUUUCUUAGCCUACAUAAUCACAUGAAUGGAACCCAUUUCUCAUAAGUCCCUCCCUCCUUCUCUCUCUCUCUCUCCCUUUCUCUCUCUCUCCCUUUUAGAUAUGUUUAUGCAGACAACUCUAAUACAUCUCUCUCAUUCUUUCAUCCUUUUCCCCCACUGCAGGAGGCAGGAAGCUUUUGUUGAGGAAGAAUUGGGAAGACAUACCCUUGCCCCUCUUGUUCUCCCGCAAUAGUCGACAUUUGGAUUCACCAAACUUGAGCCCUGGAUUGAAGGCCUUCCAUUUUCUCUCUAUGAUAAGAUGGGUAAGUGGGCCUAAUUCUAGGUUUCCGUUUUGAGAAUUAUCUGUGGCUACAGACCUAAACCACGAUUACAGCAACUCUAACAGUAAUCGAGCUCACUUUUUAGUCGCCAUCUUCUUGACUCAUUUGUUUUUGUUUUUGCUUUGUUUGUUUUCAUUUGGUUUUAAACUCUGGCAGGAAAACAAGGGUAUCCAACGUACAGUGUGGGUAAAGUUGUAGGUAAGGAUGAAGGAAAGCAGUGUUCAUUAAAAUCCUAUUCUGAAUCAAGCUCUGAGCUGCACAGUUUAUAUGAGCGCCAUCUAUUGGGUCCUCGGGAACACUAGGUUUACUCUCUGGUAUAUUAGUUUUGAUCCCCCCCUUUCCCGUGCAAGCCCUGGGAAAAGACUUAGCUGUAGUAGUUGAUACAACAGGUGAUCCCAGGAAGCCCUCAGGAAACAGAGGAGAAAGACAAGGAUGGUUGGAACGUGGGUCGGUCAUGCAGCACGGAGCGUUAUCUCCAUGGGCACUUGGUGUUGAACCCUACUGAGAGGCCACUUGAGGAGCCUCAACAGUAAGUGGAGUUAUUCACUUACCAAUAACUAUCUCUCAUUGUUUGAGAUCUGUUCCUGGUGCAUUAACUUUUGGGCCACUUUCAGCCUGCCCUGCAGAAAGGCUGAGCAGCUUUGCAAGUCAGAGAAAGUUCUUUGAGAAACACAGAGGCAUAUACAUCAACUUCUGAGAUGACUCUUCGGGUCAUUCAAGGGAAUAUGGACAGGUCAUUAACUGAGGCUGCUAUACUUCUAUUGCAUUUCAUUGAUAAGGAGAUUGACCCCAAAAUGUUUCAGUAACUUGUCUGAAAUCACAGGGUUUAUUGGACCUUAUUUAAACUUUGGUCAGAUUAAGAUAUCCACUACCCAAAUCCCACCCCCACCUACUGCUUUUGGCUGGGUGUGAACUCUUUCCUUAACUCCGUCUUACCUCUUGCUGCUGGGCCUGGGAGAGAAAAGGUGUGGCUGUAUCUUCUGGUGAGGAGAACAGUCAAACAUUAUACAGCAAGAUGAAAUCAAAGAGUGGUGGGAAACUGAAUGCAACUUUUUCUGGAGAUUGCUACCAUACAAAAAAAUCAGCCCAGCCUGCACCAGGGUAAUUAUACAUUUUCAGGAUACUUUGGAAUUCCAGACAGUGGACCCAAGCAUGGAAAUAAGCAUAUAAGAUCCAGCAAUACAUGGAAAUUGGAACAAGCAAAUAGAUUAUACUGACAAGUGGCUGAGUCCUCUCACAACUGUAUAUCCUUGAGAAGUAGUUCUAGUACAGUAGGAAAAUUAGUGAAAGCAAUAGAGGAUUCUGGAAUUGAAAAGAUUGAUGUUAUGUGCUUGUACCAAGCAGGGAUCUAGUCUUCCGAUAUAUGAACAUGGAUCAUUGAAGUACCAUGCGAUGCUUUGCCCUGAAAAGCCAGAGAAGAAUGGGCCCCAAGAACUGGUGAGAGUAAGCAGCAAGAAUGUGGAGGAACGUGGAGCUCUUUAACCUGAGAAAAUAUUGUGGAGAAUUGGCUUUCCUGAGUUUCUCAUUUGCUUCAUUGAAGAUAUUUAUGCAUAACCAAUAUAAUAAUUAAUGAGCAUUGUAGCAGAUGAUGGACUUAGAGUUUAUUACAUUCUGUUUAUUACAUUGCGGCCAAUAAACCACAUCCUUUGUAAUAAAAACUAUUAUACCGCUGGCUUCUGAUAUGGCUUACAUUGAUAAGUAAUUUCAUCGCUCAUCAUGUUCUUCAUUUUGGUGUAAAAAUUUAGAGUGUUUACUCUGGA